UACGUAGGGGGCAAGCGUUAUCCGGAAUCAUUGGGCGUAAGGGGUGCGUAGGCGGCCCUAUGGGUCAGAGGUUAAAGGCUACGGCUCAACCGUGGUAAGCCUUUGAAACUGUAGGGCUUGAGUGCAGGAGAGGAGAGUGGAAUUCCUAGUGUAGCGGUGAAAUGCGUAGAUAUUAGGAGGAACACCAGUGGCGAAGGCGACUCUCUGGACUGCAACUGACGCUGAGGCACGAAAGCGUGGGUAGCGAACAGGAUUAGAUACCCCU
rnacentral:rRNA from 1 species